rnacentral:ncRNA from 1 species
GUGGCUCUGGAGAAUCUCAGAAAUGGGUACCGAAGGUGCAAGGCGGCUUGCCGCUGAAUCUCUCAGGUAAAAGGACAGAGUA